UACGUAGGGGGCGAGCGUUGUCCGGAGUUACUGGGCGUAAAGCGCACGCAGGCGGUCUGCUAAGUUUGGAGUGACAGUUGGUGGCUUAACUGCCAAAGUGCUUCGAAAACUGACAGACUUGAGGGCUUCAGAGGGACACGGAAUUCCGGGUGGAGUGGUGAAAUGCGUAGAGAUCCAGAGGAACACCAAAGGCGAAGGCAGUGUCCUGGGGAGUACCUGACGCUCAGGUGCGAAAGCCAGGGGAGCGAACGGG
rnacentral:rRNA from 1 species